UGGGGAAUUUUGGACAAUGGGCGCAAGCCUGAUCCAGCCAUGCCGCGUGCGGGAAGAAGGCCUUCGGGUUGUAAACCGCUUUUGUCAGGGAAGAAAUCUUCUGAGUUAAUACCUCGGGAGGAUGACGGUACCUGAAGAAUAAGCACCGGCUAACUACGUGCCAGCAGCCGCGGUAAUACGUAGGGUGCAAGCGUUAAUCGGAAUCACUGGGCGUAAAGCGUGCGCAGGCGGUUUUGUAAGACAGAGGUGAAAUCCCCGGGCUCAACCUGGGAACUGCCUUUGUGACUGCAAGGCUUGAGUGCGGCAGAGGGGGAUGGAAUUCCGCGUGUAGCAGUGAAAUGCGUAGAUAUGCGGAGGAACACCGAUGGCGAAGGCAAUCCCCUGGGCCUGCACUGACGCUCAUGCACGAAAGCGUGGGGAGCAAAACCAGGAUUAGAUAGCCCCUGGUAGUCCACGCCCUAAACGAUGUCAACUGGUUGUUGGGAAGGUUCCUUCUCAGUAACGUAGCUAACGCGUGAAGUUGACCCGCCUGGGGAGUACGGCCGCAAGGUUGAAACUCAAAUGAAUUGACGGGGUCAUAGCUGUUU
rnacentral:rRNA from 1 species